CGUACUUUUAAAUAAGUCAAAACUUUCAACAACGGAUCUCUUGGUUCUGGCAUCGAUGAAGAACGCAGCGAAAUGCGAUAAGUAAUGUGAAUUGCAGAAUUCAGUGAAUCAUCGAAUCUUUGAACGCACAUUGCGCCCAUUAGUACUCUAGUGGGCAUGCCUGUUCGAGCGUCAUUACGACCCUUAAGCCUAGCUUAGUAUUGGGAACCUACGUGCGGCAGCUACCCUGUAGCUACCCUGUAGCUCCUUAAAGACAACGGCGGAGACGUGGAGUCCUCUGAGCUUAGUAAACUUUUUCUAGCUUCUGAAGGCGCCGCGGCCCCUGCCGUAAAACCCCCCAACUCUUUAGUGGUUGACCUCGGAUCAGGUAGGAAUACCCGCUGAACUUAAGCAUAUCAAUAAGCGGAGGAAAAGAAACCAACAGGGAUUGCCUUAGUAACGGCGAGUGAAGCGGCAACAGCUCAAAUUUGAAAGCUGGCCUUCGGGUCCGCGUUGUAAUUUGUAGAGGAUGCUUUUGGUUAGGUGCCUUACGAGUUCCCUGGAACGGGACGCCUUAGAGGGUGAGAGCCCCGUACGUUUGGUUACCGAGCCUCUGUAAAGCUCCUUCGACGAGUCGAGUAGUUUGGGAAUGCUGCUCUAAAUGGGAGGUAAAUUUCUUCUAAAGCUAAAUACCGGCCAGAGACCGAUAGCGCACAAGUAGAGUGAUCGAAAGAUGAAAAGCACUUUGAAAAGAGGGUUAAAUAGCACGUGAAAUUGUUGAAAGGGAAGCGUUUAUGACCAGACUUUUUCCUGGCGGAUCAUCCGGUGUUCUCACCGGUGCACUUC
rnacentral:rRNA from 1 species